rnacentral:lncRNA from 1 species
UAAGGGAUUGAGGUUUGGGAGAUUAGUCAGACACAAUCAGCAGGGAAAGCACGUGUGUUUUUGUGAGAAUUAUGCCGAGAUAGGUAACAGAUGAGGAUGAAAUUUGGGCUUGACUGAAGUAAUGGGGGCUGUCUGUGAAGCCUUGCGGCAGUAUAGCCCAGGCUUCCGAGGCGAUCGGGCAGCGUCAGUCUUCAGCUGCUAAGCCGAGAAGAU